rnacentral:rRNA from 1 species
GACGAACGCUGGCGGCGUGCUUAACACAUGCAAGUCGAACGGAAAGGCCCUGCUUUUGUGGUGUGCUCGAGUGGCGAACGGGUGAGUAACACGUGAGUAACCUGCCCUUGACUUUGGGAUAACUUCAGGAAACUGGGGCUACUACCGUAUAGGAUCUCCUGCUGCGUGGUGGGGGUUGGAAAGUUUCGGCGGUUGGGGAUGGACUCGCGGCUUAUCAGCUUGCUGGUUGGGUAGUGGCUUACCAAGGCUGUGACGGGUACCCGGCCUGUGAGGGGGAACGGCGACAUUGGGACUGAGAUACGGAGCAGAAUCCUACGGGAGGCAGCAGUGGGGAAUAUUGCACAGUGGGCGGGAGCCUGAGGCAGCAACGCCGCGUGCGGGAUGACGGCCUUCGGGUUGUAAACAGCAUUCGCCUGUGACGAAGCGUGAGUGACGGUAAUGGGAAAAGAAGCACCGGCUAACUACGUG